UACGGAGGGUGCAAACGUUGCUCGGAAUCAUUGGGCGUAAAGCGCACGUAGGCGGCUCGUUAAGUCGGAUGUGAAAGCCCUCGGCUCAACCGAGGAAGUGCAUACGAAACUGGCGAGCUUGAAUAUGGAAGAGGGUCGCGGAAUUCCCGGUGUAGAGGUGAAAUUCGUAGAUAUUCGGAAGAACACCAGUGGCGAAGGCGACUCGCUGGACAAGUAUUGACGCUGAGGUGCGAAAGCGUGGGGAGCAAACAGG
rnacentral:rRNA from 1 species